GUAGGUGGCAAGCGUUGUCCGGAAUUAUUGGGCGUAAAGCGCGCGCAGGCGGUUCCUUAAGUCUGAUGUGAAAGCCCCCGGCUCAACCGGGGAGGGUCAUUGGAAACUGGGGAACUUGAGUGCAGAAGGGGAGAGCGGAAUUCCACGUGUAGCGGUGAAAUGCGUAGAGAUGUGGAGGAACACCAGUGGCGAAGGCGGCUCUCUGGUCUGUAACUGACGCUGAGGCGCGAAAGCGUGGGGAGCGAACAGGAUUAGAUACCCUGGUAGUCCACGCCGUAAACGAUGAGUGCUAAGUGUUAGAGGGUUUCCGCCCUUUAGUGCUGCAGCAAACGCAUUAAGCACUCCGCCUGGGAGUACGGCCGCAAGGCUG
rnacentral:rRNA from 1 species